rnacentral:rRNA from 1 species
CAAUAGCGUAUAUUAAAGUUGUUGCGGUUAAAAAGCUCGUAGUUGGAUUUCUGCCGAGGACGACCGGUCCGCCCUCUGGGUGAGUAUCUGGCUCGGCCUGGGCAUCUUCUUGGAGAACGUAGCUGCACUUGACUGUGUGGUGCGGUAUCCAGGACUUUUACUUUGAGGAAAUUAGAGUGUUUCAAGCAGGCUUACGCCUUGAAUACAUUAGCAUGGAAUAAUAAGAUAGGACCUCGGUUCUAUUUUGUUGGUUUCUAGAGCUGAGGUAAUGAUUAAUAGGGAUAGUUGGGGGCAUUCGUAUUUAACUGUCAGAGGUGAAAUUCUUGGAUUUGUUAAAGACGAACUACUGCGAAAGCAUUUGCCAAGGAUGUUUNCAUUGA